GCCUGGUUAUAUCAGUCGGUAGAUAGUUUGACUCUUAAUCAAAAUGUCAUGGGUUCGAGCCCCAUACUAGGCUUA